rnacentral:rRNA from 1 species
AACGAACGCUGGCGGCAGGCUUAACACAUGCAAGUCGAGCGCCCCGCAAGGGGAGCGGCAGACGGGUGAGUAACGCGUGGGAAUCUACCCAUCUCUACGGAAUAACGCAUGGAAACGUGUGCUAAUACCGUAUACGUCCUUCGGGAGAAAGAUUUAUCGGAGAUGGAUGAGCCCGCGUUGGAUUAGCUAGUUGGUGGGGUAAAGGCCUACCAAGGCGACGAUCCAUAGCUGGUCCGAGAGGAUGAGCAGCCACGCUGGGACUGAGACACGGCCCCGACUCCUACGGGAGGCAGCAGUGGGGAAUAUUGGACAAUGGGCGCAAGCCUGAUCCAGCCAUGCCGCGUGAGUGAUGAAGGCCCUAGGGUUGUAAAGCUCUUUCACCGGUGAAGAUAAUGACGGUAACCGGAGAAGAAGUCCCGGCUAACUUCGUGCCAGCCGCCGCCGUAAGAC